rfam:Felis catus isolate Cinnamon breed Abyssinian chromosome A2, whole genome shotgun sequence.
ACCUGGCUGGCUCAGUCAGUAGAGCAUGAGACUCUUGAUCUCAGGGUCAUGAGUUGAAGCCCCACGUUAGGGG